AGUGAACGCUGGCGGUAGGCCUAACACAUGCAAGUCGAACGGCAGCACAGUAAGAGCUCGCUCUUACGGGUGGCGAGUGGCGGACGGGUGAGGAAUACAUCGGAAUCUACUUUUUCGUGGGGGAUAACGUAGGGAAACUUACGCUAAUACCGCAUACGACCUACGGGUGAAAGCAGGGGAUCUUCGGACCUUGCGCGAUUGAAUGAGCCGAUGUCGGAUUAGCUAGUUGGCGGGGUAAAGGCCCACCAAGGCGACGAUCCGUAGCUGGUCUGAGAGGAUGAUCAGCGACACUGGAACUGAGACACGGUCCAGACUCCUACGGGAGGCAGCAGUGGGGAAUAUUGGACAAUGGGCGCAAGCCUGAUCCAGCCAUACCGCGUGAGUGAAGAAGGCCUUCGGGUUGUAAAGCCCUUUUGUUGGGAAAGAAAAGCAGCAGGUUAAUACCCCGCUGUUCUGACGGUACCCAAAGAAUAAGCACCGGCUGACUUCGUG
rnacentral:rRNA from 1 species